GGUGAUUAGUUUGCUUUGCUGGAAGCUAUUGUUGCUCUGGCAUGAAAUCUUGGAAUCUUUUGGAGGAAUCCUCGAUGGCUACAGUUUCUCUGAGUCUAUCCCUCACACUAUAGGAUCUUGUUGAAGCAUCUAUAUCUUCAUCUAGGAGACAAUGCUCUCAGGCGGAAUUCAACUCAACUUUUCAGCUCAAAGAUGGUUCUAGUGCACUUGUUUGGUAAUUCAUAUGGUAUUGCUGGUAGAAGUGAGAACAGGAGCAAGGGUAGAAGCUUGGGAACUUUGGAAAGAUUAUGAAGUCUCUGCUCGGAAGAACAGUUAAGAGCACCAGAUGGUUUGGCAUUUUCAUAUGUGGAAUGAGGGGGCUAAGUUUGUCGUCAAUACAUAUAUCCAGGAGAUAUUUGAUAAAGUUUUUGUGUCUUAAUGUGUGGAUGAUUGGGAAAUACAUCCUUUGUAGUACAUUUGAUUGUUUAAUGUAUGAAUUAGAGUACUUCAAUUGAUGAAUUGGA